UACCCCUUCCUUCUUCCCUCCUUUCCUUACUGCCCCUUCUCUUCUCUCCCGUCCUUCCCUCUCCCCUCCCAUCCUGUCAUCUUCCUCCUCACUCUCUGCUUGUUACUUGGUGAUAUAAAUGAAAUUUCAGUGUGAUUCCAAAAUCUACCUGUCUUCCUGUGCCAUAGAAAGUCUAUCCCACUGUCUGAGAAUGGAGAUAUACUAUAGAAAAUUGAAUUUCUAGAAUCUUAAGAGCUCUCUUAUGUUAGCUCCUGGAAGUUAAAUGCUCUCCUUUCAAAGGACCUGCCGAUUCCUUUUGACUCUCAUGACAUCAGCCACAUUUAUGGCUCACUGAUGCAAGUUGAGUGGACGAUUUAUUCACCAUCUUCUUGAAGCUAUUGUGGAGACAUGGUGCUUGCAUAGCAUUGGACAAACACACAGAUGAAAUUAUGUACUAUUGGGGAAUUCAUUGACCCUGUUGCUGCUGACAUACUCUGUUCAUUGACCUUCCAAUGUGGACUGAAGACCAGGAAUCCUUCAAGCCUUUGCACCAGGUUGGGACCACCAAGGCAUCAAGCUUUGUGGACUAAGCAUCUGUGGGUUCUCAGCCUCUCCAGCACGAAGAUGGCCAGGUUGGACUAUCUAGUCUGCAUUGCUGGCCUGAGAUGCCGGGACUCUGUACACUUCAACUGCACCAUUUUACCAACUAAGCAUCUCUGGAACUCACUCAUCUGCCUGUUUGCUACAAUCCGGCUUUUUAUAACAGAGAGAUAGGCCAGCUGCUGGUUCCACCCCAUUUCCACCAAGAAGACUGAUGGGCACUGAAGAAGCUUCAUCUUGAGUCAAUGACAACACUAGUCACUGAGCAACCCUGCCCUUCACCUCAACUGCUACAAAGUAUUCCAGACUGUGGACAAGAGGACAGUGGAAUCGACUUUCCCUGUGUUG